ACGUAAACAACCUGCCUUCAGGAUGGGGACAACAGACGGAAACGACUGCUAAUACCGAAUAAGUUCCAAGAGCCGCAUGGCCCAUGGAAGAAAAGGUGGCCUCUACCUGUAAGCUAUCGCCUGAAGAGGGGUUUGCGUCUGAUUAGCUGGUUGGAGGGGUAACGGCCCACCAAGGCGACGAUCAGUAGCCGGUCUGAGAGGAUGAACGGCCACACUGGAACUGAGACACGGUCCAGACUCCUACGGGAGGCAGCCAUG
rnacentral:rRNA from 1 species